rnacentral:lncRNA from 1 species
UGAGAUUAUGCCACAGCCAUUUGGUUUAUGGAAUUAAUAGAACAGUGCUAAUUUAUCACUGAGAUCAGCAAAGCCUCCCCCUAAAGGAUUCUUCAAGCCUAAGGCUUUCUUCUGCCUCCUGACCACAGACCCGGGGAAGCAGCAGGCAGGGGGAGGAGCUGCUGGAGUCCGCAGUGAGCAGGUGGGAGAGGCAGGGGCUCCUAACACGCUGUCAGUCUGCCCAAGUCUGGAGGAAAGAAGUCGCCUGGCCUCGGUUAAUGUAAGAGCUGGAAGAACUCCUUGCUGCAGGGUGCGGUGGUCAGGAAAGAGGCUCAAGGCCACCUCGCCUGCCCUGCCUCUCCAGCUCUGGGAAGGACGCCUGGGAGCCUUCCUGGACUUUGCCCCAUUGAGGAAAAGGCGGGAGUCACAUUCAAACAGGUCCAUCGGCCUGGCAGGUCCAGCCAGUCGAUCUCAUCGGCCAUCUCGGUAUCCCCGCAGCCCCUCUGGUUCUCCGCGCCCGCCCCCCGCGCCAAGCUGGCGCCCCCCACUUUCUGCGCCUCCUAGAGGCGGCGAUGGGGGAGGGGGUCCGGUGUGGUCCGGGCGCACCUCCCGGUUCCCCCGGCGGUGACUCCGGCCUCCCGCUGAAGGCCAGCUGGCUGCCAGCCGGGGACGGGCGGGCACUUAACCCAGGCGGGGUUCGGUCCUAGACACCUUCCGCCCUCUCUGCGCCCCGGAGCUCCUCUUCGGACCGGCUCCUGAAGUUCAGUGCUGGGCAAUUAGCGUGGUGAGUAAUUAGGAGGCUCCUGCCGCCGCGGCUGCUAACGGGCAGCGCCGGCCUCAGUCCGCUCCUGCCAGCCGGCGCGGCGGGGAGAGGCUCCCCCGGAGCCCGCAGGUUGCGCCGAGGUGCGCCCCGGCUCGCCGCUCCGAGCCUGCUCUUGAGCUGCGGGCCCCAGAGGCGGGGCCUGGCUGCGCUGCCGAGGACACUUCCCAGCCUCGGGAUGCGCCCGCAACCGCGCGCGGCCAGGGAAGCAGGCGCCGAGGGCGAGCCUUGAGUCACGCACAGCGCAGAAAGGGGGAAGUGAUAACACCACUUCGGUUGAUGGGAGGUUAGUGCAGGAACAAAGGUCGAACGCGGGAAGGGUGGCGCGGCCAAGCGCAGCCCGGGAUCUAGGAGGCCCUUAAGCCAAGUUGCCAACCUAACUAGUUCAGCUAGUCCUCUUCUUACCUCCCCGGCACCUUCUCCAAGAAGCCCGCCAUGACUGCAGAGGUUCUCAGAAUCCAAUCGCCUUCAGGGACUUCCAACUCAUUCUUCCCAACAUGUGCCAGAAAAAGAAAAAGGAAAGGAGAAGGAAAAGGGAAAAAAGAAAAAGGAAACAAUGAGAGUAAAGGGAUAUGCAUGUGUGAACUGGAUGCUGGUUUCCAGCAUUCCACACUGAAAAAAUAAAAUAAAAUGCUAUGGGAACCUAUAGUUCUGC